GAUGAAGAACGUAGCGAAAUGCGAUAAGUAAUGUGAAUUGCAGAAUUCAGUGAAUCAUCGAAUCUUUGAACGCACAUUGCGCCCCCUGGUAUUCCGGGGGGCAUGCCUGUCCGAGCGUCAUUACAACCCUCAAGCUCAGCUUGGUGUUGGGCCCCGCCGCCCCGGCGGGCCCUAAAGUCAGUGGCGGUGCCGUCCGGCUCCGAGCGUAGUAAUUCUUCUCGCUCUGGAGGUCCGGUCGUGUGCUCGCCAGCAACCCCCAAUUUUUUUCAGGUUGACCUCGGAUCAGGUAGGGAUACCCGCUGAACUUAAGCAUAUCAAUAAGCGGAGGA
rnacentral:misc_RNA from 1 species